AAAUGUGUGGACGAGUUCGCGA
rnacentral:miRNA from 1 species